rnacentral:rRNA from 1 species
AGAGUUUGAUCCUGGCUCAGGACGAACGCUGGCGGCGUGCCUAACACAUGCAAGUCGAGCGAGAGGAGUUCCUUCGGGAACAAAUCUAGCGGCGGACGGGUGAGUAACACGUGGGCAACCUGCCUUGUAGAGGGGAAUAGCCUUCCGAAAGGAAGAUUAAUACCGCAUAACAUUACAUUUUCGCAUGAAGAAGUAAUUAAAGGAGCAAUCCGCUACAAGAUGGGCCCGCGGCGCAUUAGCUAGUUGGUGAGGUAACGGCUCACCAAGGCGACGAUGCGUAGCCGACCUGAGAGGGUGAUCGGCCACAUUGGGACUGAGACACGGCCCAGACUCCUACGGGAGGCAGCAGUGGGGAAUAUUGCACAAUGGGCGAAAGCCUGAUGCAGCGACGCCGCGUGGGGGAUGACGGCCUUCGGGUUGUAAACCUCUUUCAGCAAGGAAGAAGCGAAAGUGACGGUACUUGCAGAAGAAGCGCCGGCUAACUACGUGCCAGCAGCCGCGGUAAUACGUAGGGCGCAAGCGUUGUCCGGAAUUAUUGGGCGUAAAGGGCUUGUAGGUGGCUUGUCGCGUCUGCCGUGAAAACUCGAGGCUUAACCUUGGGCGUGCGGUGGGUACGGGCAGGCUAGAGUGCGGUAGGGGAGACUGGAAUUCCUGGUGUAGCGGUGAAAUGCGCAGAUAUCAGGAGGAACACCGAUGGCGAAGGCAGGUCUCUGGGCCGUUACUGACACUGAGAAGCGAAAGCAUGGGGAGCGAACAGGAUUAGAUACCCUGGUAGUCCAUGCCGUAAACGUUGGGCACUAGGUGUGGGGAGCAUUCCACGUUUUCCGCGCCGUAGCUAACGCAUUAAGUGCCCCGCCUGGGGAGUACGGCCGCAAGGUUAAAACUCAAAGGAAUUGACGGGGGCCCGCACAAGCGGCGGAGCAUGCGGAUUAAUUCGAUGCAACGCGAAGAACCUUACCAAGGCUUGACAUGCACUGGAUCGCUGCAGAGAUGUGGUUUUCUUUGGACUGGUGCACAGGUGGUGCAUGGUUGUCGUCAGCUCGUGUCGUGAGAUGUUGGGUUAAGUCCC